GCCCAGGUAGCUCAGCAGGUAGAGCGCCACGCUGUUAAACAUGGUCUUUCUCAUAGAAAGGCCUUGAAGAAAAUCCAUCGUGAUUUUCGAAUACAGUUACGUGGUGGUCGCAGGUUCGAGCCCUGCCCUGGGCG
rfam:Candidatus Haloredivivus sp. G17 Contig275, whole genome shotgun sequence.